GCCGUGGUGGCGGAAUUGGUAUACGCGCACGACUCAAAAUCGUGUUCCUUUCAGGAUUGAGGGUUCAAGUCCCUCCCGCGGCACCA
rnacentral:tRNA from 1 species